AAUGAACGUUGGCGGCGUGGAUUAGGCAUGCAAGUCGCGCGGAAAGGCCCCGCAAGGGGUGCUCGAGCGGCGUAAGGGACAGUAAUGCGUAGAUACCUACCCUUCGGCCCGGGAUAGCUGCGGGAAACUGCAAUUAACACCGGAUAACAUCGCAAGAUCAAAGGUGUGAUUCCACCGUUGGAUGGGUCUGCGUCCUAUUAGCUAGUUGGUGAGGUAAUGGCUCACCAAGGCCAAGAUGGGUAGCAGGUGUGAGAGCACGACCUGCGUCACUGGGACUGAGACACUGUCCAGACACCUACGGGUGGCUGCAGUCGAGAAUCUUCGGCAAUGGGCGCAAGCCUGACCGAGCGACGCCGCGUGCGGGAUGAAGGCCCUCGGGUUGUAAACCGCUGUCGUAGGAGAGGAAUGGCCGGAAGGUUCUCCUUUCGGUUUGACCUAUCCUAGGAGGAAGUCAGGGCUAAGCUCGUGCCAGCAGCCGCCGUAAAAC
rnacentral:rRNA from 1 species